rnacentral:tRNA from 1 species
GGUUCCAUAGCCAAGUUGGUAAGGCAGUUGACUGCAACUCAAUAAUCGAUGGUUCAAGUCCGUCUGGAACCUCCA